rnacentral:misc_RNA from 1 species
GAUGAAGAACGCAGCGAAAUGCGAUAAGUAAUGUGAAUUGCAGAAUUCAGUGAAUCAUCGAAUCUUUGAACGCACAUUGCGCCCGCCAGUAUUCUGGCGGGCAUGCCUGUUCGAGCGUCAUUUCAACCCUCAAGCCCUGCUUGGUGUUGGGUGCCGGCACGCGCGCCUCCGGGCGCCCGCCGCCCCCGAAAUGAAUUGGCGGUCUCGUCGCAGCCUCCCUCGCGUAGUAGUAAAACAUCUCGCUUGGUGGAGUGCGGCGCGGCCACGCCGUAAAACCUCUUAAUUUUUUUAAGUUGACCUCGGAUCAGGUAGGAAUACCCGCUGAACUUAAGCAUAUCAAUAAGCGGAGGA